UGUUUUAUUGAAAGACAGAACAGAAAAAGUUCAACCCACAACCCCCAACACUCAAAUAAACUGGUACAGAUAUCGCCAUAAUUUGGUCGAAAUAUGCAAAUUCUCGGCCGAAAUCGGCCCAUGUCCGCACAGCCAAAACCUAGCCAAAUCUGGUAAUAUUCCGGUCCAUAGCCGGCUCAAUUUAAGAGAUCCGAUGCCAGAAAACAGCAGAGUGCGCCGAGACAACCGCAAUUGGUCCGAUUCGGCUGGCUACCUGGGGUGGGACUUGGGAGCAAGAACAAAAAAUAGUUUACGCGUGCCUGCGUCAUCUUCUGAAUUGAGGGAGCAACCGUUACGUCCUCAACUCUACUCGAUGAUUUAUGAGCGGUGGCUAAACUGAACUACAGUGAAAGGAGGUGUCCUGCUGUCCAGCAUCUCUCCUCUAUCAUAUUGGCUCUCUGUCUAUCCUAUGCCUUCUAUCCCACUCUGUCUAAAAUUGGAUAACUCUAGCUUUCCUGUCAAAUCUACCGCUCUGUCUUUGAUUUUGGAAACUCUAGCUUUGUAUCCCUCUUCUAUCCCACUCUAUCUGUAUGCAGAACCCUGAAAAACCUUACUAUUUUGAAACUUGAACAAAUCCAAUUGUUGGUUACCCAUGGUUAUUGCAACCUGUCUGAACAGAACUCUGAGAGUCUCUCAUCUCUCACGCUCUCUGUCCCUCCUCUGAUCACUCACUCACUCAGGUUAUUGGUACCUGAUCUACCUCCUCUGAUCACUCACUCACUCGGGUUAUCGGUACCUGAUCUACCUUUUUGAAUGACCUGACAGAUUCUCUUCUCUCUCUCACCUCUUUCCAUCUCCUAUCAACACAUACAUUUAUUGAAUACUGUCACUGAAAAAUAAUACCACUACUUGCAUUGUAUUGAUUAUUUAAAUUAAUUAAACCUUUUUUCUCCAUAUAAACUUACAUUGUUUCAAUCUUACAGUUUAUAUCGAUGUUUUGUUUAACCUGUUAAUACUGAAAUAAAACACAGACGUCAACAAGGAGGAAGUGGAUUCAUCAGGAGUGGCUGUUUCCUGCAGAUCCAACCUCCUUCAGAAGCAUUCAUCUGUCAUCACAAUCCCACAACAACUGUUCUUGAUUUUGAAUAUAAACAAUAAUAUUAAGAUUAUUUUCUGCUGGCAAAUUGACAUCCAUAACAUUUGUGUCACAAACACUAAUAUAUUAAUCCCUUUAUAGUGUUACGUUUGACCUCACAUCUAUAGCCACUGACUUUGCUAGGAUUUUCUAGAUCAGCAUUUGCUGGACACUUAAGUAUUUUGUUUUGGUACAUAAUUAUAAAUGGAAUUGUUUUGAAAAGUGUAACCCAAAAUUGAAUGCAUUUAUCAUUCAUAAGUGCUUUUUAUAAAUAAAGGCAAACAGGUUUAAUCAAUUUUCAGAUCCUGGUUCGUUAACGGUAAUAUUCUACUAUUUGUAUUUUAUUUAAUAUCUUGG